rnacentral:tRNA from 1 species
CUCGGGGUAGUUAAAUAAAAAUUUCAGCUUUGGGGGCUGAAGAUAGGAGUUAGACUCUCCUCCCCUUGA